UUAGGAAACCAGACGUAGGUGGGUUUGUAAGUCAGAUGUGAAAGCCUUCUGUUCAAAGGAAGAACGGCAUCUGAAACUGCAGAUCUUGAGUGUAGGAGGGGAGAGUGGAACUUCUGGUGGAGCGGUGGAAUGCGUAGAUAUCAGAAGGAACGCCGGCGGCGAAAGCGAUUCUCUGGCCUAUUACUGACACUCAGUGUGCGAAAGCUAGGGGAGCAAACGGGAUUAGAUACCCCGGUAGUCCUAGCCGUAAACGAUGGGCACUAAGUAGAGGGGUUCUAA
rnacentral:rRNA from 1 species